UAAAAUUGUAUCAGACGGUGGACUCUAUAAGCAAUACACAAGCUCACUAAUUUUGGUAUAAAUUUUGUUUUGGAUAGUCAUCAUUUUCUCCAAACAAUUUUCAAUGGUAUCCAAUUAUGUUUGAUAGUUUUUGUUAUUUUUCUUACUCUUGACACAUGUUUUGACUAUUCAUAUUGUUUUCUUAGAUUGCUACUCUUUUUUUCUUUUCUUUUUUUAAUUUUGCUCUCAAUUUGUCUGCAUAACAAUUAGAAUCAAGAGGAUUUUAUAUUCUUUUGUGUGUGUUUGCAGAUCCCGAAUUCAUUUUUUGUGUCUCAAUCAAUGUUAGAAGAAAAAAAAAGAGAUAUGAGUUUGUGGACUUUCAAUUUGAGAGGUGUGUGUAUUCCAGAAGGAGAAUAAUAAUCAAAGCUUUCUGAGGCGUGCAAAUAGAGUGGUCGAUUGCUACCGCAACAUAUAAAGGCUUUUUGAGGCGUGCAAAUGGAGUGGUUGAUUGCUACCGCAACAUAUAAAGGGUAACAUUUAAGCUUGAAGUGACAGAUGCAUGUUUGGAUACAAGUUAUGCCAUCGGGAACUUUAGUAAGCUGUCAUAAAAUUAAAAAAUAUA